CCAUGGUGAAGUGGUUAUCACAUCCGCUUUAUGAGCGGGAGGUCCCAGGUUUGAAACCUUGUAUAUUCUA